GGGAGGGGAGGAGAAAGUAGGCGAGAGGAGCACGCGAGCGGCGGCCGCUGGGGCCUGUCUUCGCCUGAGCUUUGAGGCCUGGGUUUGGAACAGGGAUCACAUGCUGGGCCUCCGUAUACUGAGAGCCUUUGCUGUCAGUGACCACAGAAAGGCUGGAGUGGGCGCCCGGGCCAGCACUAGGCUCAAUCAACAGUUACUUUUGUCAUCAAGCACGGGCCUCAGGAGUCUGGAGUGAAAUGGGCAGAAAGAGCCAGAAUAUGAAAACUUCUUCGAGGGACGCCUUCAGAUUGAUGGAGGCAGGAAGACAGAUCAGGCCGGACCUCAUCUCCGAGAAAGUCCCUCAGCGUCGGUGUGCCUGACAUUUUCUCCCGAGGAGACUGAGCUUAUGGAUCAGGGGACGAUGACCACAGAGGAGAGAAGUUGAGCUCCAGUCCUUCUAUUCCUCCAUCUUAAUCCAAGAUCGCAGGAGUUGUUGCUGAACAAGGAUGAGACCCAGAUGUCCCAGCUCCAAUCCUGGCAAAGGAGAACCCAGGGCAGCGUCCGCUGUCCUUAGAUAUUUGCAUGGCUGGGAGAAGCCACAGAAAUUGGCUGGAGAAUGUUUGCAGACCUGGGUCAUCAUCUGAACCAUUUGCUGAGCUCUAAAAACAGGGAUCCCUGGGCUACCAUUCUUUGGAGGAACUAAUGAGGUAGGUCUGGGGUGGGACUGAGAGUCUAUAUGGUCACCGAGCUGCCUUGGGAUGGGGAAGCUGUGAUCCAGCCAUGUACCUCGAACCACACAGGUGAAGAGACACAGGGGUUUGAUCCGUCCUUCUGGGUCUGUCUUCAGUGACUCCCCUGCCUGCACCCUUUCUUCCUGAGAUCACCUGGUCCCAUGUUUCUUCCUUUGUCCCCACACUGAGCUCAGGCUCUCCUGUGGCAUCAGUUUGUGGAUACCAUUCUCUGCCCUUUUAGGCUAGGGGCUUUCAAAGGCCAGAUUCAGGGGCACAGUUGGGUCUCCCCACCAAAGGCCACUCCUGGUUCUACAUCCAUUGAGGACCGGGCAGCUGCGCCAUAGGUGGGAGGUGUGGCUUUGACUUCUACAUGGCUCCUCCCUGGCUGGGGGCACCCAGGAGAACCAUUUAACAGUGCCUCCCCCUCCCCUAUCCAAGGCCUCAAUCUCCUCAUCUAUAUUAUGUGGCUUGUCCUCCUCGUCCCAUAAAAUUGUUAUGGGGCCCAGAGAGGUAAUAGUCAUAAAAGCACUCUGUAAGUGGGGGACACUGUGCAGAUGCAGAUGGGGCUCUUAGAUGUUUAAUAAUUCUAGUUGGCACAGAACCAGCAGGGUGUGCAUUCAGCCCAUACUUGGGACAUUGUGUCUUACACUUUCCAAACUACUUCCCAAGGCUGUUGACUUCCCCUGUCAACGUGGAUGUUGGGCUUAGGGUGACCAACACUGAAAGUGCUGUGGGAAACCCCUCAGUCCUGGGCGAAUUAGUUACUUGCUCACUCUGGUUAGGCCUGACUCAGGAACUGAGAUUUUGCUGACUGCCACAAGGUGAUUAAUCAUCUGCAUGCCAAGGAAGGUCCUAGAAGGGCAGGAAAUUAGGGGAGUGGGCUUUUGGCAUCCUGCCAAGGCCCCUUUCCUCCCGGCUAGGACCCCCCAGCUCCACUCCCAGGACCCUUCUUUUGGCCUCUGUUGAGUUGACUUGGAGCCCAAUCUAAGCCUUUAUUUAGAACUUGUCCACUUUUCUCCAUCUCCUCCUCCCUCCCAUGGCUGAGCCACUAUCACUUCUUACCUGGAGGCAACUGCUGAACUUGUCCACCUGUUUCCACUCUGGCCCUCAUCAAAUGCACCCUCCAUGGUCUACAGCAACAACACACCGAUUGCCUUAAAAUGCCAGUAUGAUCACGUAGUCUAUGCCUAAAUUUUUUAAUGGCUACCUCAGUCCUCUUAGGACACUGAACAAACUCCUUAGCUGGCCUGCAAGGCCAGCCCCUUGUCCCUCCUCCACUAUGGUCUUAGCUCUUGCCCCUCCCCCUUGCUCACCUCCUUCCUGCUUUGGGGUCUGAUUCUUGGAAUGCUCUUCCUCCUGCUUAGCCUGGCCAACUCCACUCCUCUCCAGGACCCAGCCCCAACAUCACUUCCUCAUAGAAGCUUUCCUUAGCCUUCCUGAUUGGUCUGGUUUUACCUGAACUCCCUCAUAGCACUUAACACAAAUGUAAUUCUGAUUUGUAUGUGUGUGGAACUACUUGUUGUCCGUCUUCCUAUAAGGCUGUAAACUUAGUGAGGGUAGGAAACAUAUUUUUCUUGUUCUCAGCUGCAUUCUCAGCAAUUUGCACAAUACCCAGGAUAUAAUAGCUGCUCCAUAAAUAUUCUUGGAACAAAUAAAUGAAUGGAUGAUUGAAUGUAUUAUCAGAUGGAUAGAUGGAUGAAGGUUGGAAGGGGUGAAUGGAGGGUAGAUUAUGAUUGGAUUGUGGUUGGAAAGAUAAAUGGAAUGAAUGUGGGUAAUUGGAAGAAUAAGUGGUUAGAUGAGUGGAUGGAUGAGAUGGAUGGUUGGAUGGAAGUGCAGUGGUCAGGGCCUCCUGAGACCCUUCCUGGCUCCCUGUAUCAUCCUCAUUCCAUUUGUGCUCUUGUUUUGUUCUCAUCAACAGUAAUAGCUACCAGUACUCCUGGCAAAGGGGACACACCUUUCCCCAUAUCUUUGGAAAGAUGGUUGCCUCAAGGAGGCAGCAGAGUAGUUGGCAGACCCCAACCUGCUCUGACCUCUUUUUAACCAAAUUCUACUCCAUGUUAGGAUCACUUGGGUGUUUUCUAGGAAUAUGGCCCUCAGUAGCUGCUGAGGUUCUGCGCUCUCAUCCCCUGGACUGGGACCUCCUAGGUCAGAUUCUGCAAUGUGAAUGGCAGAAGCCAGUUGUUGGUGCUGGUGCCUUAGCCCCAAACACACUGAGCCCUACUUAUCCCCUAAAGCAGAGGUUAGCAAAUCUUUUCCACACAGGACCAGACAGUAAAUAUUUAGGCCUUAUAGACCAUAUGGUCUUUGUUGCAACUACUCAACUCUGCUUUUGAAGCAUGAAAGCAGUCGUAGAGAAUAUAUAAAUGAGUGACUGUGUUCUGAUAAAACUUUACAAAAGCAGGUACAUUUGGCCCAGAGGAUAUAGUUUUCUGACUCCUUCCUUAGAGUAGUAGCUUUCAAAGUGUAGUCUUUGGAUCAAAAGCAUUAGCAUUACCUGAGAACUUAUAUGUAAUACAGGUUCUUGGGCCCUGCCCUAGACCUAAUAUAUCAGGACAAAUAUUUUCUGUUUGUACCCCACUUCCUUCUGGGACUCCAAUUACAUAUAUGUUAGGCUGCUGAAAAUUGUUCCAGAGCUCACUGAAUCCCUUUUAAUUUUUUUUUCUUUAAUUCAUUUCGUUUUAAAUAAUUUCUACUGCUGUCUUCGAGUUCACUAAUCUUUUCUUUUGCAGGGUCUGAUCUUCCAUUAAUCCCAUCUAGUAUUGCUUUUUAGUCUGAGACAAUGUAACAUUCAUCUCUAGAAGUUUGAUUUUGGUCUUUUAAAAACAUUCCCCAGGAGUUCCCAUCGUGGCGCAGUGGUUAACAAAUCUGACUAGGAACCAUGAGGUUGCGGGUUCGGUCCCUGCCCUUGCUCAGUGGGUUGGGGAUCUGGCGUUGCCGUGAGCUGUGGUGUAGGUUGCAGACGUGGCUCGGAUCCCGCGUUGCUGUGGCUCUGGUGUAGGCUGGUGGCUACAGCUCCGAUUGGACCCCUAGCCUGGGAACCUCCAUAUGUCACGGGAGCGGCCCAAAGAAAUAGCAAAAAGACAAAAAAAAAAAAA
rnacentral:lncRNA from 1 species